CUGACCACCCUGGAGACAGGGCCUUCCCCUUCGGGGGACAGAGUGACAGGUGGUGCAUGGUUGUCGUCAGCUCGUGUCGUGAGAUGUUGGGUUAAGUCCCGCAACGAGCGCAACCCUUGAUCUUAGUUGCCAGCAUUCAGUUGGGCACUCUAAGGUGACUGCCGGUGACAAACCGGAGGAAGGUGGGGAUGACGUCAAAUCAUCAUGCCCCUUAUGACCUGGGCUACACACGUGCUACAAUGGACGGUACAGAGGGCUGCUAACCCGCGAGGGGGAGCCAAUCCCAGAAAACCGUUCCCAGUUCGGAUUGCAGGCUGCAACUCGCCUGCAUGAAGCCGGAAUCGCUAGUAAUCGCGGAUC
rnacentral:rRNA from 1 species